UGAGCAAACCCCACUGUAACAGUUUUAUCCAUAUUUUUGGGUGGCAGAGACAAUACCAGGUGACCUGCAUGUCCAAGAAAAACUAAACAAAGUUCCUUGCACUUCAACUAUCCAAUGUCAGUAGCAAACUCUGCGAAUGAGGCACAGAUCAACAAUUUCCCCAGGAACAACUCUCUGGCAAGUAAAUAUUUGGAGGAGAAACAUAGGAAAGAAAAACAAAGUUAAAGUCAAUGGAUCUGCAGGAGAAAUGCAUCUGAGAUUUUGUAAGCAGGAGAAGCGGCUUCCAGCAGAUAUUUUAUUGGAUCCAGACGGCCACAAGAAAGGGAGCAAGGCUGUUCCAGGAGGAUGUAUCAGUUCCCUACAGAAGCCUCAUUUCAUUACUCAGA